rnacentral:miRNA from 1 species
CUGCGGACGGGUGGGCGGGCAGGCC